rnacentral:rRNA from 1 species
GACGAACGCUGGCGGCGUGCCUAAUACAUGCAAGUCGAGCGAAGUUUUUCUGGUGCUUGCACUAGAAAAACUUAGCGGCGAACGGGUGAGUAACACGUAAAGAACCUGCCUCAUAGACUGGGACAACUAUUGGAAACGAUAGCUAAUACCGGAUAACAGCAUUAACUGCAUGGUUGAUGUUUAAAAGUUGGUUUUGCUAACACUAUGAAAUGGCUUUGCGGUGCAUUAGCUAGUUGGUGGGGUAAAGGCCUACCAAGGCGACGAUGCAUAGCCGACCUGAGAGGGUGAUCGGCCACACUGGGACUGAGACACGGCCCAGACUCCUACGGGAGGCAGCAGUAGGGAAUCUUCCGCAAUGGGCGAAAGCCUGACGGAGCAACGCCGCGUGAGUGAAGAAGGAUUUCGGUUCGUAAAGCUCUGUUGUUAGGGAAGAAUGAUUGUGUAGUAACUAUACACAGAGAGACG